GCGCCUUCCACACAAACUGAUCCAAAUCUUUGAACCUACUGAUUUGAUUGCCUGAAUUGUUGGUGCUGUUCACCUGGACCGUCACCUGGAUUCCGUCACAGCUGAUUGUGGCUGAGUCCGCCCCACUCUCUUUGAGAAGGUCGGGUUUGUUUCCCCGUUGGAUCAGAUCCUCAUGUGGAUCUGAAGAUGGCGAGCUAGGAAACGGACAAUGGACUUUAUGAUUUUGGAAUUAAUUUAUUCUGAAUAUUUUGUAUCAUCGUGCUGCUGUAAUUGUUUUUAUUCAAAUCACUUAAUAUAUAUAUUCACCAAAA